rnacentral:misc_RNA from 1 species
AAAAAUUGUAAAUAAAGUUUUGAAAAGUACUUACAAACAAAAAUGUUAUUUUUAAGUAGUUUGGUUUGUAUUUUAUCAUUUUGUGUGACUUCAAUACCACCUUCUCAAGCUAGAAUAUCUGAAUUCGAUUUUAAGAAUACUGUAGUGAUAGACAAUACAUUUUACCAGUCAUGCGCGACUGCAGUUACUUGCGAUCCUUCCUCUAAGUAUAGAACUAUUAAUGGCUCGUGCAACAAUUUACUAAAUCCACUAUGGGGAUCAUCCGGUACUCCUUAUAUUAGAUUAGGCUCAGCUUUUUUUGCUGAUGGUGACCAUCAAAUACGUUUUCAGUCAAGUGGCAAUAAAUUACCAGGACCUCGUGAGCUUCAGUUGGCAAUAUCUACGAUCUCACCGAAUAUUAUAGAUGUACCAGAAAUAACAAAUGUACACUUCACCCAAAUGGGCCAGUGGCUAGCACAUGAUAUUACUUUAAUGUCACCAGAUUUAUCGGGACCUAGUGAUUGUUGCGCUAUUCAGAACUCAGACGAUAUUCCACCUCAAUGUCAAGCAGUAAUUACAAUAGAUCCAAUGGACCAAGUGUAUUUAAUGUUUGAUGUGCCUCGAAGAUCUUGUUUGUCAUUUAGACGAGCAAUGACGACUACUCUUAAUUUUAAUUGUUCAAUAACUCCUCAAAUUCCCAUAAAUCAAGCAACUGCAUUUGUUGAUGCAUCGCAAUUAUACGGACAUAACAAUAUUAAAGCAGCCUCCCUUAGGUCCAAUGUGGAUGGAAAAUUAAAAACUGAAAUGAUUAAUGGACAAAGAUUUUGUGUUCAACAGAAGAGAAAUUCGACAUUUUGUGACGGACGAGAUAAUGUUUGUGUGUGUUUUGACCAUGGUGAUGUUAGAAACAACCAAAACUUGGGUAUUAUAAUUUAUGGCGAGUUGUUUUUGAGGUUACACAAUCAUAUUGCAGAUUCGUUAAAACUUAUAAAUCCAAAUUGGACAGACGAGAUAUUAUACGAAGAAGCUCGAAAAAUUGUAAUUGCAUUAAACCAGAUUUUUGUUUACCGGGAUUACCUGCCUCUUCUUUUUGGUGAGGAUUAUUCAGAAAAUUCUGGUUUGACUCUUUCAAAAUUUAAAAGAACAGUAUAUGAUGAAUCACUUAUGCCUCAAGUAUCUACUGAGUUAUCAGCAGGAAGUUUUCGAGUACCACAUAACAUCAUAAACACAUACUACAGUUUAGUGGAUGAAAAUAAUAAAGUUUUAAAUGUACUAAAACUUCACGAAUUCAUGAUGUUUCCCGAUAUUAUAGUCGAAAAUAAGAAUUUGGAGUAUAUACUAAGAGGUAUGUCGCUAAACUCUAGUCGUUAUCCAGUAGCAUCAUAUAACUUAGGGAUAUCAAAUUUUAUGUUUCAUAAUAUGAUUAAAAAUAUCGCCGACUCUGACCUACUUGCUACAGAUAUUCAAAGAGGUCGUGAUGUAGGCAUACCACCGUACAUCAAAGUUAGAGAACUUUGUGGUUUUUCAGUAAUCACAUCAUUUGACGAUUUGUUAAAGAUAUUAUCACCUACUGCUAUUGGAUUAUUGAAGUUAUACUAUGAAGAUGUUGCUAGCAUAGAUUUAAUAGUGGGAUCCUUGCUAGAACCAAUAAUCCCUGGUGCAUGGUUUGGUGAAACUACGAGGUGUAUAUUAGCUGAUGGAUUUUAUCGUAUUCGAUAUGGUGAUCGUUUCUUUUGUGAUGUGCAAGAUCAACCUGGAAGUUUUACUGAUGGAAUUCCGAAAUGAUUGAUUGUGAAGAGUUGAGUCUAGAUCUUCAAUUAUGGCGUCAUAGUACAAAUGGAUGAAUUCAAGAGUUGGAUUACUUGACGCUUCACAUCAAACCAAUAAAAUAUAUUGGAGGUGUUAACUAAAAAUAUAAAUAUAAAUAACACAUGUUUACUGUAUAAUUUAA